rnacentral:rRNA from 1 species
GAUGAACGCUAGCGGGAGGCUUAAUACAUGCAAGUCGAACGGUAACAGGGAUUUACUUCGGUAUAUCUGCUGACGAGUGGCGCACGGGUGAGUAACGCGUACGCAAUCUACCUUCAAGGGAGGGAUAGCCCCGGGAAACUGGGAUUAAUACCUCAUGUGAUUAUUUUAUGGCAUCGUAAAAUAAUUAAAGUUACAGCGCUUGAAGAUGAGCGUGCGUUCUAUUAGUUAGUUGGUGAGGUAACGGCUCACCAAGACGAUGAUAGAUAGGGGGCGUGAGAGCGUGACCCCCCACACGGGUACUGAGACACGGACCCGACUCCUACGGGAGGCAGCAGUAAGGAAUAUUGGACAAUGGGCGCAAGCCUGAUCCAGCCAUCCCGCGUGCAGGAUGACGGCCCUACGGGUUGUAAACUGCUUUUAUGAGGGAAGAAUGUUAUGCAUUUAUGCGUAUUUGACGGUACCUCAAGAAUAAGCACCGGCUAACUCCG